GACGAACGCUGGCGGCGUGCUUAACACAUGCAAGUCGAGCGGUAAGGCCCUUCGGGGGUACGACGAGCGGCGAACGGGUGAGUAACACGUGGGUGACCUGCCCUCAGCUCUGGGAUAAGCCUGGGAAACGUGGGGUCUAAUACUGGAUAUGACUCCACGGUGCAUGUCGUGGGGUGGAAAGCCUUGUGCGGCUGAGGAUGGGCCCGCGGCCUAUCAGCUUGUUGGUGGGGUGAGGCCUACCAAGGCGACGACGGGUAGCCGGCCUGAGAGGGCGACCGG
rnacentral:rRNA from 1 species